rnacentral:rRNA from 1 species
UUGACCUCAAAUCAGGUAGGAUUACCCGCUGAACUUAAGCAUAUCAAUAAGCGGAGGAAAAGAAAUUAACAAGGAUU